CAGCAGCACAGCUGGGGACGGCCUCUGCCCGACUCUGGUGAGUUGUUAAAAGCAGACAGAACAAGGACAGAUGGAUCAAAAGGAAAAAAUCAUUGCAAAGUAGGUGAAAUAUCAGAGUGAAGCAUGGGAAAAUCCAGAAAGUGGAAGAUGACAUCGUGAAGAUAAUCUGAAAAACGCUGCUCCAGCUGAGAAGGUGCAGGUGGUGUCAAAAUGUGGGGCGUCCAGGCAGACAAACCCUGCCGCCCGACACUCAGGGCCGGCAACGUGACCUGAUGUUUCGUGUACUACCUCCUCACGAGUGGAUAUUGAUUUAUUCCUUCACGUACAGUUAAUCUAUAGUGAUAUCUAUAGUGAUUAUAGAUCUAUAGUAAUCUAUAGGGGUAUCUCCUUCGUGAAGGCACCUCUUCUUUGUUGUUGUAGGCGGACAGCUAUGGCAGGGGCAUUCCAAAAAUGAAGCACCACUACAAGUAUCAGGAAGGAGAUGCAAUGUUUAAACAAGCUGUUCCAUUUUCAUAACUAGC